rnacentral:rRNA from 1 species
CCCUUAGAUGUUCUGGGCCGCACGCGCGCUACACUGAUGCAUUCAACGAGUCUAAAACCUGAUCUGAUAGGGCUGGGUAAUCUUUUGAAAGUGCAUCGUGAUUGGGAUAGAUGAUUGCAAUUCCUCAUCUUCAACGAGGAAUGCCUAGUAAACGCAAGUCAUCAGCUUGCAUUGAUUACGUCCCUGCCCUUUGUACACACCGCCCGUCGCUCCUACCGAUUGAAUGAUCCGAUGAAUACCAUGGAUUGAGAGUACGAAUGGGUUCGCUCAUUUCUGCUGCUCGAGAAGUGGAGUAAAUCUUAUCAUUUAGAGGAAGGAGAAGUCGUAACA